UAAUACGGAGAGUGCGAGCGUUGUUCGGAAUUACUGGGCUUAAAGAGCAUGUAGGCGGGACGUCAUGUGUCGGGUGAAAACCCCAGGCUCAACCUGGGAACUGCCCGGCAAACUGGCAUUCUUGAGGCAGGUAGAGGUGACCGGAACAACUGGUGGAGCGGUGAAAUGCGUAGAUAUCAGUUGGAACGCCGGCGGCGAAAGCGGGUCACUGGACCUGCCCUGACGCUGAGAUGCGAAAGCGUGGGGAGCGAACGGGAUUAGAUACCCCGGUAGUCCACGCCGUAAACGAUGCGCACUAGGUAUGGGAGGUUUUGACGCCGACCGUGCCGAAGCAAAAGUGGUAAGUGCGCCGCCUGGGGAGUACGGCCGCAAGGCUA
rnacentral:rRNA from 1 species